rnacentral:rRNA from 1 species
AGUGGCGAGGUUAAGGGAGUAACACCCGAAGCCGUAGCGAAAGCGAGUCUUAAUAGGGCGUAUAGUCGCUGGAAUUAGGCCCGAACCGAGUGAGCUACCCAUGGGCAGGGUGAAGCGAGUCUAAACACUCGUGGAGGCCCGAACUCACUAACGUUGCAAAGUUAGGAGAUGACCUGUGGGUAGAGGUGAUAUGCCAAUCGAACUCGGAGAUAGCUGGUUCUCCCCGAAAUAGCUUUAGGGCUAGCGUCGUGCGUUUAGUACUGGAGGUACAGCACUGAAUGGGCUAAGGGGCUUACAGCUUACUGAACCCAAUCAAACUCGGAAUGCCAGUACUCCAUAGCACGGCAGUCGGACUCCGGGAGAUGAGUUUCGGGGUCGAAAGGGAAACAGCCCAGACCAUCGGCUAAGGUCCUUAAAUCUAUGCUAAGUGGGAAACGAGGUGAGGUUACUUAAACAACCAGGAGGUUGGCUUAGAAGCAGCCACCCUUUAAAAAAGUGCGUAACAGCUUACUGGUCUAGUGACUUCGCGCGGAAAACUUAACGGGGC